CCACUAACCCUAGCCAGCGCCGCCCCCUUGUCCCUCUUCCUCUCCCGCCGCCGAGAGCCGCGCGCGCCGCCGCCUCCGCCGUCCAGAGCCGCGCACGCCGCCGCGCGCCGCCACCCCCAUCGCCCGCCGCCGCCUUCGUCUCGCGCCGCCGCGCGCCGCCACCUCCGUCGCCCCCCGCCGCCAUCGUCGUCCCCGUCGCGCCGCCGCCUCCGCCUCCUCCUCGCGGCGCCGCCUCGCGCUACCACCGUCGGUCGCCGGCCCCCGCCACGACCCCUUCGUUAGCUACCGGAUCCGGCGCCGUCCGUCUCCACCGCCGUCGUAGAAAGCCCGUAGGCCACCUGUGUCCUCUUGCCGCCCGAUGUGACGAGGAGCUCGGCGGCGCCACACGGAGCUCAACCGAUCCGCAUCAUCCACGCCACUUAAAGUGAUUAUGAUUUGUGAAUCAACGGAUUUGAGAUUUGAACCUAGACAAGGAAGGGCUCUUGGAGCAACUGCUACAGUCAGCUGCUCUACUGGUUAGUUGGUCACUUGGCCGUCACUUGUCAGCUGUGGCCUCGGUGCCGGUGAAGUGACCUGCGCGGUGGACAAGUGCAAGGAGGAGCUGAGCAGGUGCCACGACUAGCACCGGUGGCACAAGGUGUGUGAGGCGCUCUCCAAGCUGCCCGUCGUUGUCGCCGAUUGCUAAGUAUGAUGGGGAUGAGGAGGAGCAGAGGUGGCCUAAAUCUGAUGGACAAGAUUUUGGCAGUUUGGGAAGCAUUUGGGAUAUGGCAGGUAAUUUACACAAGCAUGAACCAUAAAAAGCAGGAUUUCUCCUACAUGAUUGCAUUAGCUCAAGUAUCAGAAGUAAUGGUGUAACUGGAAUCUAAGUCUUACUGAGGCAUAUAUGUGUGUUGCACUUAUCAAUUAACGUGUGACUGGGAGAGAUCAACUUUACUGCUUGUUGUUGCAUUUACAUAUCUUUCUGUCUAUCUAUUUAUUAUUUGACUUUGUGAUUCUUCACAUGUAUUGGAUGAAAUUCAUCGGCAACCUGCAUCACUUUCACUUUCCAUGGUCUCUGCCCAGGCUCCAGAAUCCGUGGUUAAUUCAUUACCAUGUAAGAGCUACAAAAAGCAGACAGCCCAAUGCAGUGAUAACAUGGAACAGUGAGAUUCUUACCAUUCAAAUUUUAUCAUUUACUUGUUGUCACCUAGGGCCAAAAAUAGUUCUGAGUGUCAUUGAAGAAUGUCAAGUUCGCCGCUACAAAUGCAUCACAUUAUCUUACGCGUUUGAAAUAACUAUGCUGUUCAUGUCCAUUAUCCAUCAAAAAAUAAAUUGAGACCCUGUACAAAAUCCUUAUUAUUUUAUUUGCCUUACAUCAGCCUUCUAAUA